rfam:TPA: Bos taurus chromosome 22, whole genome shotgun sequence.
UCCCUGGUGGUCCAGUGGCUAGCACUCUGUACUCCCAAUGCUGGGGUCCCGGGUUUGAUUCCUGGUCAGGGAA